UACGUAGGGUGCAAGCGUUGUCCGGAAUUACUGGGCGUAAAGAGUUCGUAGGCGGUUUGUCGCGUCGUUUUGUGAAAACCAGCAGCUCAACUGCUGGCUUGCAGGCGAUACGGGCAGACUUGAGUACUGUAGGGGAGACUGGAAUUCCAGGUGUAGCGGUGAAAUGCGUAGAUAUCUGGAGGAACACCGGUGGCGAAGGCGGCAUCCUGGACCGGCAUUGACGCUGAGGCGCGGAAAGCCAGGGGAGCAAAGCGGGG
rnacentral:rRNA from 1 species